AAUAAACCAAUCUUUUACUUUUUAGCUACAAUGUUUGACACUUCGUCUUAUUUCAAAUUUUUAUGAUUAAUAUUUUUGUUUUUUAUUAGAUGAUAAAUCAUGAAUAGUAUUUUACGUGUGACUAAAUUUUUUUUAAUUUCUUGAAAAUUUUUCAAAUAAGACGAAUGAUCAAAUGUUGGACACAUAUAGUCAAAACUUUGCCUUAU
rnacentral:pre_miRNA from 1 species